rnacentral:lncRNA from 1 species
UGAAGUUUGACCUUUCCCUUUAUUUUAAUUCAAGUUUAUUUUUAAGUAUUAAAAAAUGCCAAAAAUAUUUUAUUCUUUUCUUGACUUCCAAUCUUCAUCUCACUUCUGUUUUUGAUUGUUUGACCUUGACAUUCAAUGUUAUUGGAUUUAUUUUAAUUCAAGUUUAUUUUUAAGUAUUAAAAAAUGCCAAAAAUAUUUUAUUCUUUUCUUGACUUCCAAUCUUCAUCUCACUUCUGUUUUUGA